AUGGUUAGCACACAAUAUAGGGGGGGCACGGGGAAGGCUGUACAACACAGAGAAGUCAAGUAGUGACUCUAUAGCAUCUUACUAUGCUAAUGGACAGUGACUAUAAUGGGGUAUGUGGUGGGAACUGGAUGAUGGGGAAAGUCUGGUAACAAUAAUGUUGCUCAUGUAAUUGUAGAUUAAUGAUACCAAAAAAAAAUUAAAUGAAGGUGAAUAAAGAUUUUUCAGGAAAAAAAAAAAGAACCAAAAGUAAAGUCUUCCCAUUAAAACUAUAUAGUAACCACAGCCCAGUAAUAUACACCAUAAAAAUAUUUGCUAGGAAAAAGUUAGUAUAAAACAGACAAAAUGCUGAGAAAAACCAGUCAUCCCAAAUUUGAAGCAGGUUACACAUUUCUCUUCCAGAUACAGGAAGGGAUUCUGUGUGCUGCCUUAGUGGUCCUGGGAGAGAAGUGGCAGCUGGGCUGAGCACUGCGGGACGCAUUUGGAGCCCAUUUCCACUCUGCACAGUUGCACACAGGGGAGGUGGGAACCACGUGGCUAUGCAAGUUAGGGCCAGAAAGAUAGCAGCCCUUAAAAUUCACAAUUCCACUAAUUGGACCAUGUGCAUUUAUUUAGUCUACCAUACUUCCGCUGUCUGUAAUAUGCCAUCAGUUGCAAGAUGAAUUUCUAUAUACGACCUAUUAUAAUGUGGGUGGAAAGGCCUAUUGUUCUUUUUUAGAUACCAGAUUCUCUUCUCAGUCUCAGAGAUGUUUUUAAAAAUAUAAUUGAUACACAAUAUUAUACUGGUUUCAGGUGUACAACAGUCAGCAACUUACACAUUACUAAAUUCUUACCAUGAUAACUGAAGUUACCAUCUGUCAUCACACAAAGAUAGUGUUAUUGACUGUAUUCCCUAUGCUGUACUUUAUCCCCAUGAGUAGUUUGUUUUAUACUUGAAAGUUUGUACCUCUAUUGUCCCUUCUAACUAUUUUGUCCAUCUCCCCAAACCCCUCCCCAGUGACAAACACCAGUCUUUUCCCCAUAUUUAUGAAUGUUUGUUUUAUUUGUUCAUUUGUUUUUUAUAUUCCACAUAAAAGUGACAUUACAUG